rnacentral:rRNA from 1 species
AACGAACGCUGGCGGCAUGCCUAACACAUGCAAGUCGAACGAGACCUUCGGGUCUAGUGGCGCACGGGUUCGUAACGCGUGGGAACCUGCCCUUAGGUUCGGAAUAACUCCCCGAAAGGGGUGCUAAUACCGGCUAAUGUCUUCGGACCAAAGAUUUAUCGCCUUUGGAUGGGCCCGCGUUGGAUUAGCUAGUUGGUAGGGUAAAAGCCUACCAAGGCGACGAUCCAUAGCUGGUCUGAGAGGAUGAUCAGCCACACUGGGACUGAGACACGGCCCAGACUCCUACGGGAGGCAGCAGUGGGGAAUAUUGGACAAUGGGCGAAAGCCUGAUCCAGCAAUGCCGCGUGAGUGAUGAAGGCCUUAGGGUUGUAAAGCUCUUUUACCCGGGAUGAUAAUGACAGUACCGGGAGAAUAAGCUCCGGCUAACUCCGUG